AAUAAAGAUUGUGGAAUGAUUGCAAGCCUGGAGCUCCAGUGAGGAAGCAGAAAUGAGCAUUUUGGCACUUGAGGAUGUGAAUUUGGUGUCAGCUUUAUCCCUGUUUUCAUCUUUUAUCAUCAGAACAUCAAACAUGCUCCACUUCAGCCACUCUGUGCCUGUGAUAGCCAAGGGAGAGUGUCUUUUUAACCAGAAAUAGCAAAGUGGAGCUGGAAUAAUUCAUUAAAGAAUUAAUCUGUUGGCCUCAAACGGCUACCAGCAGGGACAUACUUAUUUUUAGGAAAACAGAACACCUGCAAGAGUUCGUCAAAGUGAAGCUUAUAAGAUUGGACAAAUGAUGGUUAAUGAACAUGAGAAAAACCUCUCGUUCACAGAAAGCAUGGAUACAACAAUUCCAUAAACAUUUCCACAAAAAACCCUACACUCUGCAAAUGGUGAACAAUACUGGAGAGAAACGAAGCUGAAACUGACCUGCUGAUCAGAAUUUGAAUGAAUGCUGUGAAAGUUAAUAUGGCUUGUGUAAUUAUGGAGGGAGUUAAAUAUGCUUUCAUGGGGACCGAAUUUGCUCCAUGAAUUCUAAAUGAGCCACUGGAUAAUUUCAGUUA